rnacentral:rRNA from 1 species
UACGAGGGGCCCAAACGUUAUUCGGAAUUACUGGGCUUAAAGAGUUCGUAGGCGGCAUUGCAAGUAGGGUGUGAAAGCCCUCGGCUCAACCGAGGAAUUGCGCUCUAAACUGCAGUGCUUGAGGAACCUAGAGGUGAGCAGAACAGAUGGUGGAGCGGUGAAAUGCGUUGAUAUCAUCUGGAAUACCGGAGGCGAAGGCGGCUCACUGGGAGUUUUCUGACGCUGAGGAACGAAAGCCAGGGUAGCGAACGGG